CGGUUGAUCCUGCCGGAGGUCACUGCUAUCGGGGUUCGAUUAAGCCAUGCGAGUCGAGAGGGUUCAGACCCUCGGCGGACUGCUCAGUAACACGUGGAUAAUCUGCCCUAUGGUGGAGGAUAACCCCGGGAAACUGGGGAUAAUACUCCAUAAGUCAGGAGUACUGGAAUGUCUCCUAACUGAAAGUUGCGGCGCCAUAGGAUGAAUCUGCGGCCGAUUAGGUAGUUGUUGGGGUAACGGCCCAACAAGCCCGUAAUCGGUACGGGUUGUGGGAGCAAGAGCCCGGAGAUGGAAUCUGAGACACGAUUCCAGGCCCUACGGGGCGCAGCAGGCGCGAAAACUUUACAAUGCAGGAAACUGUGAUAAGGGAACCCCGAGUGCCCGUACACGCGGGCUGUCCCGGUGUUUAAAACACAUCGGAAGAAAGGGCCGGGCAAGACCGGUGCCAGCCGCCGCGGUAAUACCGGCGGCUCGAGUGGUGACCACUUUUAUUGGGCUUAAAGCGUUCGUAGCUUGAUUUUUAAGUCUCUUGGGAAAUCUCACGGCUUAACUGUGAGGUGUCUAAGAGAUACUGGGAAUCUAGGGACCGGGAGAGGUAAGAGGUACUUCAGGGGUAGAAGUGAAAUUCUGUAAUCCUUGAGGGACCACCGAUGGCGAAGGCAUCUUACCAGAACGGCUUCGACAGUGAGGAACGAAAGCUGGGGGAGCGAACGGGAUUAGAUACCCCGGUAGUCCCAGCCGUAAACUAUGCGCGUUAGGUGUGCCUGUAACUACGAGUUACCGGGGUGCCGAAGUGAAAACGUGAAACGUGCCGCCUGGGAAGUACGGUCGCAAGGCUGAAACUUAAAGGAAUUGGCGGGGGAGCGCCACGACGGGUGGAGCCUGCGGUUUAAUUGGACUCAACGCCGGGCAGCUCACCGGAUAGGACAGCGGAAUGAUAGCCGGGCUGAAGACCUUGCUUGACCAGCUGAGAGGAGGUGCAUGGCCGUCGUCAGUUCGUACUGUGAAGCAUCCUGUUUAGUCAGGCAACGAGCGAGACCCCG
rnacentral:rRNA from 1 species